UCGAGUCUUGAAACGGGUUGUAGCUGGCCUUCUGAGGCAUGUGCACACCCUGCUCAUCCACUCUACACAUACACACCUGUGCAUUUGAUGUAGGCUUUUGGAGGUGGUGCAGGCUUUUUUGCCUGCUGAAGCUUCUGGGGGCUUAUGUUUUUUUUACACACUUGCCACACCCUUUGGUAUGGGAACGUUUGUUGCGAUGUUAAUGCAUUUAUAUA
rnacentral:misc_RNA from 1 species